GCCCCGACCCCAAUACCCGCCUCCCCAUCCGCGCUUGACUACGUCCGCCCUAGCGCUCCUCCAUCCCAUCGUCUCCCCGGAAACCUUGUCGUCACCCUCUCCCGCGAACUCCGUGUCGAUAGUUCCGCUCUUCGGCUCGGGCGCUCGGUCGUUCCGUUCCCCAUUCUUCUCGUACGCGGCCGAUUGUGACCCUCGCCCUCGCCUCCCCACACCACCUAAAAUGCCCUGCCUCCGCGCCCGCUCGUCAUCCCCGCGCCGCCUCGUGGACGCCCCGGUCGGCGAUGUGGCGGGAGCAUGCGGCCCGCUCCUCAGGCUCCUCUCGGCGUGCGGCGGGGUCUGGCCCACCUCGCCGGUCCCCGGCGCCGCGGCCUCCUCCUCCACCUUCUCUAGGGACGACUCAGAAGGCAGUGACGGCCUCCUCCGGGGAUGACUCGGAAUCGAGGCCGGCCCGUGCUCGUGAAUCCUCCGUCGGGCGCGGCGCCAUCGGCGUUCCUCUGCUGUGUGAUCCCUAAAACCCCGCGGUGCUCUAGCGACCCCGCGAUAUGGGACGACGACGACGACGGGAGGCGUUUCGGCCGUGCUUCGUGGAUUUAUAUCCUUGAUUUUUGUUUUUGAUCUCAAGGAUUAGCUGGGAAUACGAUCGUCGCAGUUGCUGCACUCGGGCUCUUCCUCGCCAAGAGGAACAUAAACACACCUCAGCGAAGAGUAGGGCAAGAAAGAGAUAAAAGCAACAUUCUUCAGUUUGAAGCAAGGGACUAUAAAUUCCACUUCGCUGCAAUGAAGAGAUGUGUACCAAGCAUUCUCUGGUUGGAGCCCUUCUCUGUUAUCCAUUCCACUUCUUUUACGGAACACCAUCAGAACAUUCUUUAAAAAAGAUAUAAUUAUGUGAUAUAUAGAAACCAUAGUGACGCACGGUCUCCUACCUAGUUUAGUGUCAUAAGUUUUAACGCUCGAUUCUGAAAAUUCGGCCAAUCUUAAAAAGAUUUGGAAAUACGUAGCUUCCGUGCAGAGCAGUAUCAAAAUGUUGAUCCUCUAUUACGAAUUUACGAAUUUACGAUGCAGGCGUGAUUAAUUAAUAUUUCCUCAGUCCCAAACUAAAAUUGGUUUUACUUUUUUUACUGAAUUUAUACAAUAAUUAAUGUUAUGUGUUCUAUAUUUAUAUAUCUAAAUUCAUAAUCAUUCAUAUGAAUAUGGAUAUAAUAAUCUAGAUCCAAAACAACUAAUAUUCUAAAUCAGAGGGAGUAUUUUAAGGAAACUGAUAUGUUUGUUUCAAUACUCGGCGUCUCAAAACAAAUUAAUUUUUAGAGUUAUUUUAAGUUUAACUAUUUAAAGUUUGACCUUGUUUAUAGAAUUUUGAUUAUAUUGUAUUAUUGUUUGCACAAAUUUUAUUUUAAACUACUCUUAGUUAGUACUCUCUUCGUCUUAAAAUAUUAGUUGUUUUAGCCUUUAAUUUUUAUAUCUAUAUUUAAAUAGAUGAUAAUAACUUUAGACAUAUAUAUAUAACACAUAUAUUGAUUAUUGUAUGAAUCAACUAAAAAUGUAAAAACAAUUUUUUUAAUUUUGUAACGGAGGGAGUAACAUUUAGAGCAGUUACGGCGCUGUAAAAAACUCAUUUUAAGAAGAGGACAAGGAAUUGUUGUUCACUUGUUUUUGAUUGGUGUGAACCAAAAACAAGGCAACACAAAUGUCAAACAUUAAAAACAUUCGAUCUUCGAAGCAUUAUCUCUUUCUGAGUAUAAUGAUCUUCAGACGAAUGUCACGGAAAACAAGUCUUCAUUAUUCAUAAAAGUAAGAAUUUAUAUACAUGAAAUGUAAUAUCCAUCCAUAUGUUUAUUUCAUAACAAAUGUAUAAAAAUUAUAAUGUUUACAUUAAAUUGAUACAUUCGGCUUGUUUGAAGUUGAUGACGCGAGAGCAAUUACAAUUCAGCGUGAACAGUACGGGGGUACUGUUCAUCUAUUUAUAGGUAACCGUAAAACUUUAUGCGUUAUUACAUUCAUGCCCUCAACAAUUACAUACAGAGUUUACAAAAUGUCACAAGGACAGUAUCGCCAUUUGUACUUAUUAACUUGAACACCUUCUCCUUACAUUGACUUCCCGUUUCACCGUGACGAAGCCCGUUAAACGAAGCUUGCUUCGUCGUGCUUCUCUUGUGUUUUGUCGAAGCUUUUCUUUUGACGAAACUACUGUAAUAUUCAGUAGUAUGCUGAAAGCAAAUGGUUAGCCGUGUUUUUGAGAACCUUCGGAAGAAUAAAUUCCAACAGGAACCUCGAUUUUGCAUGUUGCAACAUACCAUGACCGGAAGAGGUAUGCUAACAUCGAGGUCACGAGGUAAAUUCUGUUUUUGUGUGUCUCCGUUGUAGCACUCACGUACUACGUUUUGUAAGACUCCAACAGAUGUUGUAUAACAUUGUGUACCCUAAAUUUUACCUAAAUUUUAGAGAAGGUUCACAUCCUCUACAUGUUCAAUAGUGUUCUCUAAACGGUCCACUAAAUUUAGGGGACACUGCUAAAUUAUCUAUAUAUAGAGUCUCCUCAUCUUUUCUAUCCAUUUUAAUACUUUAAGCAACAGAAUUAACAAAACUAAAAUACGUACAAUAUAGUUGAAAGUAUGACAAAUAUAUAUUAAAAAAAGUAAAAUAUGUCUUUAAUAUAGGUAUUUACGUAUAUAGAGAGGAUGUUGUUGGAGAGGGGGAGAUAUAGACAGGGGCGGAGCCAUGGGGCAGGGGCCAUGGCCCCUUCCAAGGCUAUAUUCUAAAUGUUGUGUAGUCUAAAUGUAUAUACUCUAAAUUUUAUCAACAUAAUUAAUCAAAGGUUUAAUAUAGUUGUUGGUAAUAUAUAAUACAUAACUCUUGUAGUAUGCCAACAAAGUCUAAAAGAGACCAAAAAAUAAGAUAAAAUAUUUGUUGAAUGACCAAUUGAUGGCACAAGACAUUAAACCUAAUUUGGUUGCAGACACAUAUCUAAACCUCACCUCUAUAUGAAUCAUCUUAUCGUCUAGCUGGGCAGCUGUCGAUUGCCGCUAACCACUUGACUUGCCUAUGACAUAGCCGUAUAGACUACAAAAACUAGAGAAGGUGAUCACGUGAAGCAACAUAAUAAGCGCUAACAACAUCGAUCACCAGAACCACAUGUCGCAGCUGGGACGUCCGUAUAGACUACAAAUACUAGAUCCAAAUA